GCUUUCCUCUUGACAUAACCCACCCGCUGGUACGAGCCAAUACGGGCUAGGCAGUCAUUCUAAUAGAGGCKAGAACGCUACAUGAGGGCAGAACAAGAAUCCCAUGAGACCCCAUGCCCACAUCCGGUUCCGUAUACAUGAUACCAAGCAAUACUCAAUGCUCCACACCACCAACGCAAGCAUUACCGAUGUGGCUCAAAGAGACGGCUUCAGGGUCCAUCUCAUGCCAUGUAAAUGACACAAGACGAAAGCAACUUCGAUCGAUCAAGACAAUACCGUCACUUAGGUAGGCAACACAUGAAACCCACAAUCCGCUUAGACAAUACAUGCCUAAACAGACAAUUGAAAAGGUAUGCCAGGUGGAAGUUGUU
rnacentral:misc_RNA from 1 species